rnacentral:rRNA from 1 species
CGUGGGUAACCUGCCCAAGAGAUCGGGAUAACACCUGGAAACAGAUGCUAAUACCGGAUAACAACAGAUGAUGCCUAUCAACUGUUUAAAAGAUGGUUCUGCUAUCACUCUUGGAUGGACCUGCGGUGCAUUAGCUAGUUGGUAGGGUAACGGCCUACCAAGGCGAUGAUGCAUAGCCGAGUUGAGAGACUGAUCGGCCACAUUGGGACUGAGACACGGCCCAAACUCCUACGGGAGGCAGCAGG